rnacentral:rRNA from 1 species
ACGGGUGAGUAACACGUGGGUAACCUGCCCAUCAGAAGGGGAUAACACUUGGAAACAGGUGCUAAUACCGUAUAACACUAUUUUCCGCAUGGAAGAAAGUUGAAAGGCGCUUUUGCGUCACUGAUGGAUGGACCCGCGGUGCAUUAGCUAGUUGGUGAGGUAACGGCUCACCAAGGCAACGAUGCAUAGCCGACCUGAGAGGGUGAUCGGCCACACUGGGACUGAGACACGGCCCAGACUCCUACGGGAGGCAGCAGUAGGGAAUCUUCGGCAAUGGACGAAAGUCUGACCGAGCAACGCCGCGUGAGUGAAGAAGGUUUUCGGAUCGUAAAACUCUGUUGUUAGAGAAGAACAAGGAUGAGAGUAAAACGUUCAUCCCUUGACGGUAUCUAACCAGAAAGCCACGGCUAACUACGUGCCAGCAGCCGCGGUAAUACGUAGGUGGCAAGCGUUGUCCGGAUUUAUUGGGCGUAAAGCGAGCGCAGGCGGUUUCUUAAGUCUGAUGUGAAAGCCCCCGGCUCAACCGGGGAGGGUCAUUGGAAACUGGGAGACUUGAGUGCAGAAGAGGA